UACGAAGGGGGCUAGCGUUGUUCGGAAUCACUGGGCGUAAAGGGCGCGUAGGCGGCCGAUCAAGUCGGGGGUGAAAGCCUGUGGCUCAACCACAGAAUUGCCUUCGAUACUGGUUGGCUUGAGACCGGAAGAGGUAAGUGGAACUGCGAGUGUAGAGGUGAAAUUCGUAGAUAUUCGCAAGAACACCAGUGGCGAAGGCGGCAUCCUGGACCGACAUUGACGCUGAGGAGCGAAAGCUAGGGGAGCAAACGGG
rnacentral:rRNA from 1 species